AUACCUUGGUCAGUCAUGUAGUGCUGAUUCACACUGUUCUCCAGUAAGCAACAGUGAAUGUAGCAGUGGUACAUGUUCCUGUACGAGUGAUUACUUUCAAAUAGGAUCAAGCUCCGCUGAUUCGUGCUUAAAGAGAUCCCUUGGUCAGACUUGUGGCGCUGAUACCCAUUGUUCCAUAGUAACAAACAGUAAAUGUAGCAGUGGUACAUGUUCUUGUAAGAGUGGCUUCUAUAAUAAUGGAAAUACAUGUACAAAGCGCCAGCUGGGACAAUCAUGUGAUGCAACAAACCAGUGUUCAGCAGUCAAUGCAGUGUGUAGUAGUAGAACAUGUCGGUGUCCAAGCACAUAUUAUGAUACAACCGGAUCUCAAAUUGGUGGCACUUGUG